rnacentral:rRNA from 1 species
AUGAACGCUGGCGGCGUGCUUAACACAUGCAAGUCGAACGAAGCACUUUAUUUGAUUUCCUUCGGGACUGAUUAUUUUGUGACUGAGUGGCGGACGGGUGAGUAACGCGUGGGUAACCUGCCUUGUACAGGGGGAUAACAGUUGGAAACGGCUGCUAAUACCGCAUAAGCGCACGGCAUCGCAUGAUGCAGUGUGAAAAACUCCGGUGGUAUAAGAUGGACCCGCGUUGGAUUAGCUAGUUGGUGAGGUAACGGCCCACCAAGGCGACGAUCCAUAGCCGACCUGAGAGGGUGACCGGCCACAUUGGGACUGAGACACGGCCCAAACUCCUACGGGAGGCAGCAGUGGGGAAUAUUGCACAAUGGGCGAAAGCCUGAUGCAGCGACGCCGCGUGAGCGAAGAAGUAUUUCGGUAUGUAAAGCUCUAUCAGCAGGGAAGAUAAUGACGGUACCUGACUAAGAAGCACCGGCUAAAUACGUGCCAGCAGCCGCGGUAAUACGUAUGGUGCAAGCGUUAUCCGGAUUUACUGGGUGUAAAGGGAGCGCAGGCGGUGCGGCAAGUCUGAUGUGAAAGCCCGGGGCUCAACCCCGGUACUGCAUUGGAAACUGUCGUACUAGAGUGUCGGAGGGGUAAGCGGAAUUCCUAGUGUAGCGGUGAAAUGCGUAGAUAUUAGGAGGAACACCAGUGGCGAAGGCGGCUUACUGGACGAUAACUGACGCUGGGGCUCGAAAGCGUGGGGAGCAAACAGGAUUAGAUACCCUGGUAGUCCACGCCGUAAACGAUGAGUGCUAAGUGUUAGAGGGUUUCCGCCCUUUAGUGCUGCAGCUAACGCAUUAAGCACUCCGCCUGGGGAGUACGGCCGCAAGGUUGAAACUCAAAGGAAUUGACGGGGGCCCGCACAAGCAGUGGAGUAUGUGGUUUAAUUCGACGCAACGCGAAGAACCUUACCAGGUCUUGACAUCCGAUGCAUAACACAGAGAUGUGUGAAAUCCUUCGGGACAUCGAGACAGGUGGUGCAUGGUUGUCGUCAGCUCGUGUCGUGAGAUGUUGGGUUAAGUCCCGCAACGAGCGCAACCCUUAUCUUUAGUAGCCAGCGGUCAGGCCGGGCACUCUAGAGAGACUGCCGGGGAUAACCUGGAGGAAGGCGGGGAUGACGUCAAAUCAUCAUGCCCCUUAUGACUUGGGCUACACACGUGCUACAAUGGCGUAAACAAAGGGAAGCAAAGCUGUGAAGCCGAGCAAAUCUCAAAAAUAACGUCUCAGUUCGGACUGUAGUCUGCAACCCGACUACACGAAGCUGGAAUCGCUAGUAAUCGCAGAUCAGAAUGCUGCGGUGAAUACGUUCCCGGGUCUUGUACACACCGCCCGUCACACCAUGGGAGUUGGGAAUGCCCGAAGCUAGUGACCUAACCGAAAGGAAGGAGCUGUCGAAGGCAGGCUCGAUAACUGGGGUG